UUAAGGAACCUUCCUUUAAGUCUGGAAUAACCUUGCCAACGCGGGGCUAAUACCGGAUGUGAUUCAGCUGUCUCAUGGCAGUUGAAUUAAAGAUGACCUCUACUUGUAAGUUAUUGCUUAGAGAUGGUCCUGCGGACCAUUAGCUCGUAGGCGGGGUAACGGCCCACCAAGGCUGUGAUGGUUAGCCGGCCUGAGAGGGCGAACGGCCACAUUGGGACUGAGAUACGGCCCAGACUCCUACGGGAGGCGGCAGUAGGGAAUUUUGCGCAAUGGACGAAAGUCUGACGCAGCAACGCCGCGUGAGGGAUGACGGUUCUCGGAUUGUAAACCUCUGUUGAGUGGGAAGAACAACCCUGUAGAUAAUACCUGCAGGGUCUGACGGUACCACUCGAGGAAGCCCCGGCCAAAUACGUGCCAGCAGCCGCGGUAAUACGUAUGGGGCAAGCGUUGUUCGGAAUCACUGGGCGUAAAGGGAGCGUAGGCGGAGAUUCAAGUUAGAGGUGUAAUCUUCAGGCUCAACCUGAUUUUUGCCUUUAAUACUGUUUUUCUUGAGUAGUAGAGAGGGAGACGGAAUUCCAGGUGUAGCGGUGGAAUGCGUAGAUAUCUGGAAGAACACCAGCAGCGAAGGCGGUCUCCUGGCUACAUACUGACGCUGAGGCUCGAAAGUGUGGGGAGCAAACAGGAUUAGAUACCCUGGUAGUCCACACCGUAAACGAUGGACACUAGAUGUCGGGGAAGUCAUUUCUUCGGUGUCGCAGCUAACGCGAUAAGUGUCCCGCCUGGGGAGUACGCCCGCAAGGGUGAAACUCAAAGGAAUUGACGGGGGCCCGCACAAGCGGUGGAGCAUGUGCUUUAAUUCGAUGCAACGCGAAGAACCUUACCUGGGCUUGACAUGGGAGUGUAACUUUCCAGAGAUGGAAAGCCUUCCUUCGGGAACACUCUACACAGGUGCUGCAUGGUUGUCGUCAGCUCGUGUCGUGAGAUGUUGGGUUAAGUCCCGCAACGAGCGCAACCCUCGCCCUUAGUUGCCAUCAGGUAAUGCUGGAACUCUAAGGGGACCGCCUGGUAUAACCAGGAGGAAGGUGGGGAUGACGUCAAAUCCUCAUGGCCCUUACGUCCAGGGCUAGACACGUGCUACAAUGGCCGGUACAGAGGGAUGCAAGACUGUAAAGUUGAGCUAAUCCGUUAAAACCGGUCUCAGUUCGGAUUGGAGUCUGCAAUUCGACUUCAUGAAGUUUGAAUCGCUAGUAAUCGCGGAUCAGCAUGCCGCGGUGAAUAUGUUCCCGGGCCUUGUACACACCGCCCGUCAAGCCACGAAAGAUGGUAGUACCCGAAGUCGCUUCUCUAACCCGCAAGGGAAGAGUGCGCCGAAGGUAAGACUGUUGAUUGGGGCUAAGUCGUAGCAAGGUA
rnacentral:rRNA from 1 species